rnacentral:rRNA from 1 species
AUUGAACGCUGGCGGCAGGCCUAACACAUGCAAGUCGAGCGGAUAAAGGGAGCUUGCUCCUGGAUUCAGCGGCGGACGGGUGAGUAAUGCCUAGGAAUCUGCCUGGUAGUGGGGGAUAACGUCCGGAAACGGGCGCUAAUACCGCAUACGUCCUGAGGGAGAAAGUGGGGGAUCUUCGGACCUCACGCUAUCAGAUGAGCCUAGGUCGGAUUAGCUAGUUGGUGGGGUAAAGGCCUACCAAGGCGACGAUCCGUAACUGGUCUGAGAGGAUGAUCAGUCACACUGGAACUGAGACACGGUCCAGACUCCUACGGGAGGCAGCAGUGGGGAAUAUUGGACAAUGGGCGAAAGCCUGAUCCAGCCAUGCCGCGUGUGUGAAGAAGGUCUUCGGAUUGUAAAGCACUUUAAGUUGGGAGGAAGGGCACUAAGUUAAUACCUUGCUGUUUUGACGUUACCAACAGAAUAAGCACCGGCUAACUUCGU